CACGCAUCAUUUAGAGCAAAAGAAACAAUAAACCAAGGAAGUAAUAAUUAGCUUUGAUAAAAUAAAGGUUGUUAAGAAUGACCGGGACUGUUUACAAAACAAAAAUUUCUUUGCUUUUCAAAGAAAGAUGAUGAUAAUUGUACUUCUUGUAACAUGGUCUGAUACUUGGAUUUUCCUAAGAGUUGAGGGGUAGAAUGUCGUCUCUGAAACUCAAUUUUAAUGGAGUUUUAUAUUUUGUUUAUUUUUAUGUUUUAAAAGUAUUUUUAGAAAGAAUUAAUUUUUU
rnacentral:lncRNA from 1 species